GGCCUCUGCUUCCCCAGUGUGCUGGCAGGCUGCCGCGAACCCGCGUGAGGGCUCGUGUGUGUGACUAACCCCACUGGGGGAGGUCACUGGCUCACGUGGCCAGCCGGCCUGCGGAGAGCCGAAAUGUGAACCUGGGCAUCUCUGCCUUCAAGGUCAUACUGUGCCCUUCAGCUACUGCAGCCCUCAGUGUCUGCUCUGGGCCUUGUUGGCAUCACCCACAGCAAAUGCUUUCGGACACAAUGAGAGGCUGUGCUGAGCAGCUGAGAUCGGUGCCCAGAGCUCUCAUUUACUGAAGGUGAGGCCAAAGCCCAGAGAGGGCAGGACUUUGUAGAGGCCACACAGCAAGUCAAUGGAAGAUUCAGGGUUACUACUAUCCUCUCCCCUUGGCAGAUGCUUCACCCCCACCAGCCAGGUCCCUCCCUUCCCCACCUCCCCAGCUCCAUUGGCCAGGGACGGCCCAGGCUGAGGAAUCUGGAUUUGACUCUGGCUUUGCCAUUGAUCAGCCCUGAUCUCCUCUGAGCCUCAGCAUCCUGUGGAAGGAGAACGUUCGUUUUUAUUUGUUAUGAAGUUGGGUAAGAAUAGCCAGGCCCAGGUAGGGAGAUGCCCGUGACGGAAGUGAGUUGGCCCACUUGGGUUUCCCGCCACAGGUCUCCCCUGGGGCUCAGUGUGUGGCUAACCCCAUGGACUCAGUGCCCAGGGCCCUUCUCUUGUCCCCACAGCCUACAGGAGUGUCCCGACCUGGUGCUGAGUGAGGAGGUGGUGGAGGGCAUCGCUGGGGACAUCGAGGCAGCCCUCUUUGACCUGACACAAGACACCAGUUGCCGCUACAAGACCAAGUACCGCAGCCUGCUGUUCAACCUGCGGGACCCCAGGAACCAGGACCUGUUUCUCAAAGUGGCUCACGGGGACGUCACCCCCCACAAACUGGUGCGGAUGAACUCCAUCCAGCUGGCCCCUCAGGAGCUGUCCCGCUGGCGGGACCAGGAGGAGAAACGGGGCCUAGAGAUCAUUGAACAGCAACAGAAGGAGCCUCGUGGGCUUCCAGCCUCCAAGUUGACCCACAAGGGCGAGGUGGAGAUCCCGAGGGACGUGGACCAGACGCUGACCCUGGAGGACCUGGUGGGACCCGUGGUGUCUAGAGAAUGCAGCCCCCUGGCCCUGCCCGCCCCCCUGGAGGACACCACGGAGCAGCACCAUCACCACUUCCUGGACCCCAACUGCCGCAUCUGCACAGACUGUGAGGCCUUGAGUGGGCUGCCAGGCUUCUCCAGAGCCACCAGAAACAGGGAAGACCAGGCCUCCCAGAGAGCUCCAAGCCCAGCUCCUGUGUCCUCUCCAGAGAUGUCCCAAACCAGGGACACCCCUGUUACAGAGCCCCAAGACAGUCUGUUUGUCCCUCCCUCUAGGCCACAGAUACCUCCUGGGCCCACAAAGGCCUUGCCCAGCCCCCCGCCCUGGGAGGGUGCUCUUGACAUGUUCUCCAUCAAGCGGUUCCGAGUGAAGGCCCAGCUGGUCUCAGGACACAGCUGUCGGCUGGCCCAGGCUCUGCCUGAGGUGAUCCGCUCAGCAAGCUGCAUCCUGCCCAACGUUGUCUGGGACCUUCUGGCCAGCGUCUGCCCAGCAGAGGCCAAGGACAUCUGUGUGGUCAGACUGUGUCCCCUCGGGGCUCGGGAUACCCAGAAUUGCCGCCUGCUGUACUCCUACCUCAACAACAAGCAGCGCCAUGGCCUGGCGGCUGUGGCACACGUGGAGGUGGUCCUGCUCCCGCUGCCCGCCUUCCAGCCCCUGCCCACCAGACUGCGCCCUCUGGGGGGCCCAGGUCUGGAGGCUACUCACUCAAGUCUCUUGCUGGCUGUGCUGCUCCCCAAGAAAGGACUUCCAGACCCAGCUAAAUCCAGCCCUGUGUGCAGGAAGGUUCGCAAGAUGGUCUCCUUCAACAGGAAAGUGGAGAUGCGGUGCUACCAGCAAGAGGAUGGGAGGCAAGAUGUGCCCCUGAGAGGCUCCCCUCCCCCAGGGGGUUCCCUGCAGCAGAGCCAGGGCAAGGGUAGCCCACCUCCAAGGGGAGCCUGUGCUUGGCAGGGGUUUCCCAGAGGCAGGGGGAGGCUGCUGGCAGAGCCUGAAACCUGGCAUGGUCCUGGGCGAGGGCAGAGGGCCCCAGCACCAGGAUGGUUCCAGUCCCAACAUCCCUUUUCAGUUAUACCAACUGUCCGUGGCUUUGGCCAUGGGCAGCACCUCCACAGGGCCUCCUGUCCCCACCAAGCCCUGCUCCAGCACCUUGAGUCCCUGGUUACUAUGACUCACCAGUUCCAAGCCUCAUUGUGGCCCCCAGGCCAGAACCCCCACCCUCCAUCCUCUGUAGCAUCUGCCCAGCCCCCUACAGCCCCAGGGAUUCUUGGCUUCCUCUGCCAGCCUACUGCAGUUCCAGAACCCCCUGGCCCAGGCCCUGACCCCUCUUUGGGCCCUAUAGAUGGAUCUUGAUGAAUCAACAGGGAUCUUGAUUCCCUUACUCCAGACAGAGACAGGGUGGAGGAAGAAGAGGGUCAGCUCUCCCCACCUGUCCUGUUUGUUUCCUGUCCUGCAAUCUGUUUGGUGUUGGAUUUUGGUUCAAUAAAGAAUUUGGAAAAGUUAGUUUUGCAUCUGCUGACUGGUCAGGAGAGACCCUAGUUCCAACCAGAUGUGGUUUGGUGUGUCUGGAUUUUUGUGUAUAGAUUUUCAGCUUUGCUGACUGCUGGUCUGGAAUUUGGAACCAUCACUUUGCCCCAGGGAAAAGCUGUUGCCCUGGGUAGUUUCUAGAAGCAUUCUGCAAGUAUUCUGAUUAGGGGGAAGAACAGGCAGUGGGAAAAGGCAGGACUGGGGUGGGGGGAGAGAAGUGGGCAGUGGCUUUUGAAGGUGCACAGACAUGGAAAUUGCUAAGGAGCAAAAGGAGAGCAAAUUUCAAUGUUUUUUUAAUAAAGCUUCUGAGUGACCAAGAUUUCUUCCUUUGGAUAGAUGAGGGGUACCACAAAGUGCCACCAUAUUCCUGUGUGUAUGUAUCUUUGAGUGUCCCUGUGCAUGCAUGUGUGUCCUUAUGCACGUCCAUAUGUCUGAUUGCCUAGCAUUGGGCGGUGCUACCUUGCCUUGGCCCUGCAAUGAGCUCGUCACAGCAGCUCUAAUGAUAAAGUGUCUCCGUGUGUGUAACUUGAGAGAAUUGAGUCUGAAGACUGACCUCAGAACCAGCUGCCCUGGCUAGCCAGCCCACUGUGGGGGGGCUGGCCAAGGGGAGAGAAUUCUGCAGAACCCCCCCCCCUUCGCUCCAGAGACUAAAGCUCGAGAUAUGACAACUAAACACCAGGAAGAACUUCCAGAUGAGAGGACAGACUGGAUUCCAGGCACAGGAUGAGGAUUAUUGGUUUGCCUGUUUUUCCUUCUUGGAGGCUAGAGGCCAGGUUGGUGCAACAUGGACCCUGUCCCCUCACCACUUACAUCCUUACAGGGACACCAGUGUUUCCAAAAAUCUUUCAUUCUUAACCCAAAGACACUGGAGCCAGAAGCUGCUGCAGCGGUGACCGCUGAGGUGGGAGGCUUGAAGACUGAGCAGAAGAGAUGGCGGCUGAGAAGGUACCCUCUGGGACUGAGAUGUCUGGGAUGGAGCAGGGCCACAGGGAAGGUGGAGGGCAGAAACAUUGGAGAAGGCUUGAGCCUCUACCAGAGAGGACUGGGGAACCCUGGAGCCACUCCUUUACCCUUUCUGGGUCUCAGUUUCCCCAUGAUGACAAUUGGGACUCCUUUGCUACAACAGUCUGGAGGGGAGAAGUCAACUCAGUGUGCAGAAUUCACUUGCUGAGGAGCAGCUGUGCGGCAGGGCAGUGGAAGAAGGGAGUUCCCUAUUCUUGGGGCUGUGCAAGCAGAAGUGUGGCCGGGAUGGGACAGCAGAACUUCCUCCUGGAAGCUCUUACUCUUGUGUAGACUCCAGCUGCUCCAGAUACCUCCUCAAAGGCUGGGAAGUGCUUCUUGGAUCUAACUUCAACUCCUCUUGCUCUGCUGGAUGCUUCUUGCUCUCUUUUCUCCCAGUGUCUCCGUAACUUUUAAUACCUUGAUCGCUAGGGUCACAUGGAAAAAGCAGAAGAGGUGUUAAAGGGCAAAAAACAGUUCCACUCUGUGUUGACGUUAGUUCUCAAUUAGGUUCAGAUAAUUAAAAUAAAUGAGCUUGGCUCCUG